rnacentral:rRNA from 1 species
CCUACGGGUGGCAGCAGUGAGGAAUAUUGGUCAAUGGGCGCGAGCCUGAACCAGCCAAGUCGCGUGAGGGAUGACGGUCCUACGGAUUGUAAACCUCUUUUGCCGGGGAGCAAGCGUGCGUUCGUGAACGCGCGUCGAGAGUACCCGGAGAAAAAGCAUCGGCUAACUCCGUGCCAGCAGCCGCGGUAAUACGGAGGAUGCGAGCGUUAUCCGGAUUUAUUGGGUUUAAGGGGUGCGUAGGCGGGAUGCCAGGUCAGCGGUAAAAAUGCGGUGCUCAACGUCGUCGAGCCGUUGAAACUGGCGUUCUUGAGUGGGCGAGAGGUAUGCGGAAUGCGUGGUGUAGCGGUGAAAUGCAUAGAUAUCGAGAGGAACACUCGUGGCGAAGGCAGGUUCCUGGACAUUAACUGACGCUGAGGCACGAAGGCCAGGGGAGCGAAAGGGAUUAGAUACCCGGGUAGUC